CGACAAUAAUAUAUACUAGAUAUUAUAUAAUAGGGCGAGCAUAUUUUGCCAUUUUUUUCAAUCCGGUUUUUUUUUUUUUUUGAACAAUCGAUAUUAUCUACACUAAGGAGAGGGGGUGUGCUUAACCUCACAAUGGACUAGCAAUAAAUUGGUGCAAAUUCGCCUUUAGCGAGAUUUGAACCUAAGACUUCUCACUUAUCAGUGAAGAGGAAUACCUUCCAAUAAUAUUAAUAACACAAGAAGUCUUCAAAGAAAUAUGGAGGAGAGAAGUAAAGUAGCAUACAUUUUCUAUUACAAAUGAUAUUGUUAUUUAAAUUAAACUAAAAAUGAUAGAGUUUGAACUUAUCGUAGUGCAUCAAAGAGGAAAGCUUUAUUCCUCAGAACAAUCCACUGAACAAAAACCUCACACCAUCUAUAGUAUCAAUCAACACCUCUUUCAUCUCUCCUUGAACUCUAUUCUCACAUUUUCAGCCGGUUUUAUCGUUUUUGCGUUUUUAAUAACGAAGGAGUGCAUGACUACUAUUUUAAAGUGUCAAUAACGAUUUAUUUAUUUUUGUGGAUGCCAAUAACAGCUUAAGAUAGCAACAGCUUAAGAUAGCGAAAAUCGAGUUCUUCUAAGAAAAAAUAUAUAUAUAAUUGUCAACCACAAAAAAAAAAGUACGAAAAACAAGUAAUGAGUUUUGUCCACAGAAAUUGAUGAUGUCGGUGGGUUUUAGAGAAAACAACCAAGAUAAACGGCACCAAGAAACCAUUAAUAAAUUUAAAGUUUGGUCCGGGAAGAAAGUUCAGUUGUUGCCCCACUCCCUCGCAUAAUCCACUGUACCAUUUAUGGACCUCCCUUUCCCAGCAAAUCAAAGGUAAAUGAUAUUUUGCUGUUUAUUCUACUCGAUUUGUUCUUGUCUGCUGCUGUCAAUUCUUGGCAUUGAACACCGUACCUUCAUGAUCUUAAUUAAUCCCAUAUUGUACAAUAAGUGGAUGAGGGGACUUGAAUGGCAUGGAAACACCGUUAUAUAUAGUGCCUUUUUGUGGAGAGAAACUAACCAAUAUACUUGCAUUAUUAGCACGAGACGCCACUAUAGUAAAGUAUUCACGCCAUACAAGUUUCUCCUCUGUAUUUGUUAGGACUUUUCUGAAUCUAUAAUUUUUUUUGUUUGAAAGAAUGAUAAUGGAUUAGGCUAGUCGACUACGCAAAAGGCUUGGUUGUCAGAUUACAAUUUUAGACCUUAUUGUCUAAACCCGCACAAGGCGAAAAGAAAGAACCAAGACCCCAUAAUUAGCCAUCAACUACAAGUAGGUUACUUCCUUCUCGUUCAUAACAAUUAGAAAGGGCUAACUCUUUGAUAGAACAACCCCUCGUCCCCUGUCUAAAAAAUUAUUAAUAAAGAAAAGGUGAAAAUAAAAUAAUACAAGCGGGGGAAGAAGCCAAAACCCGCGAAGAGUUAAACAAAGAAACAUCAACGAAAAUGAAAAUAGGAUGAACUCAAGGUCAUGAGCAUUGGCGGCAGCUGCAAAAUCUAGAACAAUGGCCCACCAAUAAUAAGUACUACCAGCCGAGAAGCUAGAGCAUCAGCAACUUGAUUACCCUCCCAAUAAAUGUGUGUAGAAAAAACGCUCAUCUCAUGAAUGCGCUAUAAACAAUUGUUCCAAUCGACCAAGAGAUAUUGAGGAACUGAUAUGCCUUUACAUUCUAGUGGUGACACAGAUUUCGUUUUCGUUUUCGUUUUCUCUAUUAUUAAUCCCCAUAUAAUCACUCAGAUUUUAAUUUGAAACUAUGGGAAUUACAUAUUAUCUGAAUUUCAUUGGAUAUAGUGGUGGAGAAGGAAGAACAAGUCACAUUCUCCUCCUCUCCUCUUUGUGUUUUCAUAUUUUUGUCUUUGCGAAUGACAAGUCCUUUGUGAUGACGUUAUUUGAGUCACAUUCAGAGCAAAUUAUACAUAGUCACUUUUAUGUUCAUCCACUGUUAGAAAACUUCAAAUCCUGUCCUUAAACGUUGUUGAUUUAUUUUCUUUUACAUUUUGGCUAACAUUGUUUCAAUUCCCAAUUUGAAGGUCUUGGCAAGUCAAGAGGUAUCUUAUUCACAAUUUUGCACAAUUAGACGAAUAAAGGUUAUUGAAUCUUUUUCUAUAUCCACUUCUCUGUGAUUUUCUCAACUAGAUGCGGUGAUGUUUUUUUGGUUCCUAAGGCCAUCUCCAACCUUUGAAGUAAAACUCAAAUUUUAGGUUCUAAAUUUACCCAAACUUGCUCCAACAUGAGAUAAAUAUGAGUUUUUGACCAAAAACUCAUUUCUAGAGCAAAUAUAGCCCAGGAUUCCUCUCGGAUUAGUGAAGUUGGCCCACCAUAUAUAUGUACAUUUUUUUAGUUUUAUAUUUAUAAAUUCAUUGAACCUAACGAAUAAGAUCUAACAUGAUCAAAUCCAACGGUAGAAAGAAAAAAGAUCUAAGGGUCCAAAUUUAAAACUAACGGCUAAAGUAAUUAAAAAAAAUAUUUUAUGUGUUUCAUAUUCUUUCAUAAUGUUUCACGAGUUUUUUGGCGUCGUUUUAGUAAUUUUUCAAUAUUUAUCGGAAUCUAAAUAUUUUUAGGUUAAAAUGUUCAUAAAAUUAAAUUAUGAUAGUCUAUAUAAUUUUUUUUUUAAGUUACUUUAAGAAAAAAAAAAUAUCAUUAAUUCAUUAUUUAGUAAUCUCAAGCUAAAUUUGACCCAUAAAAAUUGGAGGAGAAAAACUCUUUUUAGGUUAAAACCUAAAUUGUCUAGGUUAAAAAUUUUAAAUUUUAAGAUUGGAGAUUGUCUAAUGGUAGGGAUGCCUUUAAAGAAGAAUUUCUAUUAUUUUUAUAAAAAUAAUAAUUAAUUGUAGGGCUCACACCAUAUCAAAUCAAUUAAACAUUUAUUUAUACACUCCCACUCCCACAACUUCCUUUAAUUGAGAGCAACUUUCUCGAUUUGACAUUUUCUCCUUUCAAUUUUCAAGUUACUGAAAGCGAUGACUGGUUUUGUUUUCUAAAAACUUAUGUUCAACACUCAAAGCCUGGCGGGCAUGCCCUUGUCAGUUGUCAUUGGGUCUCUUUGGUUCUUCCAUAUUUCUAUCAUCUCAUGGACUUAAGUUGGACCAAUUGAUCUCAAAGCCCUUUCUGAGGCCCACUUGCAAUUUUUCAAGCCUCUUUAACAUUUGAAUAAUUAAUUAAGGAUAAUGUUAGAGGGAUCAAAUUUUUUAAAUCAGAUUUGCAAACCCAAUAAUGUGGUUAUAGAUAAUUGUUUUAUUAAUUAAGUGUCGAUUAAAUUGCUUAUUCUUAUUGGUGACACAUCAUUUAAUUUGCAAAUUUGAUUUAAAAAUUUAGUCUCCUUAGCAUCCGUUAAUUAUUCAUUUCCUUAAUUAAUUAGUUCAUCGUACUUUUAAACCGUAGGUUUCAGAGUAAGUGUCUGUUAGUUCUAAUCGGCAAGGCAGUGAGAGUGAUUAAUCUUUUUAAUAAACUUUUUUUUUAAUUUAUUAUU
rnacentral:lncRNA from 1 species